AAUUUACCAGCCAGCGCUGGUGCAUUCGACCUCUGCGCAACGAGAUACAAUUGGUGAGCGCCGCUCUUGUUGGGCUCUGGCCAGCUCUUCGGGCAGCCGGGGGUGUCUGUCGGGAGCCCCCCGGCCGGUUCCCGGGAGGGAUGCACGGGAGGAGUCCCGGGGUCCCGGGGGACUCCUCGGCCGCUCUCCGUGGUGCUGCAGCCGCCGCCCGCGGUGCCUCCUGCGGGAGGGCAGGAUCCCCUUCCCCGGGAGCACGGCCGGCCGUGCCGCUAACUCCUCCCUUCGGAUGCAAGGGCUGCACCGCCACAAGCCAUCCUCUCGCCGCCCCCCUCCUUCUCCUUUCUCCCGUUUCGACAGAGCGAGCGGGCUUGCUCUGCCUGCGCGGCGGCGGCUGCCCACCGCGGACCCCGUGGGCUUGGGGCGGGUGCUUUAAUUUUGGCAGGACCUGCCCGCCGCCCUUCCCGGAUAAACUUGGGCCGGCGCCCCCCGGCACCGCGUUUUGGGGCUGGUGGGCUCCCGGCUGCCUGCGGGGAUGCCCAGCAUCCAAUAAUGCAAUGGCUGGAAGACCACAACGUGUCAGAUUAACUGGGUGGACACAUUGGAUAUUAGCAACAAUUCUGCUGCUGUGGAGUUACCAGAUCAGUGGACAAGGGUGGGAAGGAAACUAA
rnacentral:lncRNA from 1 species